rnacentral:rRNA from 1 species
GAUGAACGCUGGCGGCGUGCCUAAUACAUGCAAGUCGAGCGAACAGACGAGGAGCUUGCUCCUCUGACGUUAGCGGCGGACGGGUGAGUAACACGUGGAUAACCUACCUAUAAGACUGGGAUAACUUCGGGAAACCGGAGCUAAUACCGGAUAAUAUAUUGAACCGCAUGGUUCUUUAGUGAAAGACGGUUUUGCUGUCACUUAUAGAUGGAUCCGCGCCGCAUUAGCUAGUUGGUAAGGUAACGGCUUACCAAGGCGACGAUGCGUAGCCGACCUGAGAGGGUGAUCGGCCACACUGGAACUGAGACACGGUCCAGACUCCUACGGGAGGCAGCAGUAGGGAAUCUUCCGCAAUGGGCGAAAGCCUGACGGAGCAACGCCGCGUGAGUGAUGAAGGUCUUCGGAUCGUAAAACUCUGUUAUUAGGGAAGAACAAAUGUGUAAGUAACUAUGCACGUCUUGACGGUACCUAAUCAGAAAGCCACGGCUAACUACGUG